UCAUCCUCUUAUAUUUCUAUGAGUUCUCUUCAGCAUCCCACAAAGACAUCCUUACAGUGCUGGAGCGACUGCCUGGGCAGGUGCGAUUCAUCUACCCUGAUGAAACAUGACGUGCCUAUUAGGAGAGACACAUCAACAGUAAGAUAGAUCUUCCUCCACUGCCUCCGAAGUGCAUCCUCCUCCUCAACUCUGGGACCGGAGAUUGAAGCUUUGCAAAUUCUAUCUGCACAAGACUCAGCUGACCUCCUCCUGUCCUUCACUUCCUGCCCCUGUGUGUCUCCCACCGGUGUGAUCCUCUGCCCCGCCCUGAUUAGUUUCACCUGUGUCUUAUUAGCUGCCCCUCCCAGAGACUUUUUAAAGUCUUGAAAAAGACUACUCCUUUUGAAUCCUGUGCCAGUCUCUGAGUCAUGCAUUUGAGUUUUUCUCUCUUUGGUGUUUCAGUUUCAUUUUCCAAGCCAAAGGAACUGAUUUGGGCACCUGACACACUUUUA